rnacentral:rRNA from 1 species
GACGAACGCUGGCGGCGUGCCUAAUACAUGCCAGUCGAACGAGAGCGACCGGUGCUUGCACUGGUCAAUCUAGUGGCGAACGGGUGAGUAACGCGUGGGUAACCUGCCCAUCAGAGGGGGAUAACAUCCGGAAACGGAUGCUAAAACCGCAUAGGUCUUCGAGCCGCAUGGCUUGAAGAGGAAAAGAGGCGCAAGCUUCUGCUGAUGGAUGGACCCGCGGUGCAUUAGCUAGUUGGUGAGGUAACGGCUCACCAAGGCCGUGAUGCAUAGCCGACCUGAGAGGGUGAUCGGCCACAUUGGGACUGAGACACGGCCCAAACUCCUACGGGAGGCAGCAGUAGGGAAUCUUCCGCAAUGGACGCAAGUCUGACGGAGCAACGCCGCGUGAGUGAAGAAGGUUUUCGGAUCGUAAAACUCUGUUGUUAGAGAAGAACAAGUGCUAGAGUAACUGUUAGCGCCUUGACGGUAUCUAACCAGAAAGCCAUGGCUAACUACGUG